GCUUAACACAUGCAAGUCGAGGGGCAGCGGUGGUGAAGGCUUGCCUUUACCAGCCGGCGACCGGCGCACGGGUGAGUAACACGUAUGCAACCUGCCUGCCACAGCCGGAUAAUCGGGAGAAAUUCCGUCUAAUACGGCAUAAUGCAUCGACGGGACAUCCUGUUGGUGCCAAAGGUUGAUUCCGGUGGCGGAUGGGCAUGCGUCGCAUUAGUUAGUUGGCGGUGUAACGGACCACCAAGACGACGAUGCGUAGGGGUUCUGAGAGGAAGGUCCCCCACACUGGUACUGAGACACGGACCAGACUCCUACGGGAGGCAGCAGUGAGGAAUAUUGGUCAAUGGGCGGGAGCCUGAACCAGCCAAGUCGCGUGAGGGAUGACGGCCCUAUGGGUUGUAAACCUCUUUUGCCGGGGAGCAAAGUGCCGCACGUGUGCGGUUUGGAGAGUACCCGGAGAAAAAGCAUCGGCUAACUCCGUGCCAGCAGCCGCGGUAAUACGGAGGAUGCGAGCGUUAUCCGGAUUUAUUGGGUUUAAAGGGUGCGUAGGCGGACGCUUAAGUCAGCGGUAAAAUUGCGGGGCUCAACCUCGUCGAGCCGUUGAAACUGGGUGCCUUGAGUGGGCGAGAAGUACGCGGAAUGCGUGGUGUAGCGGUGAAAUGCAUAGAUAUCACGCAGAACUCCGAUUGUGAAGGCAGCGUACCGGCGCCCAACUGACGCUGAAGCACGAAGGCGUGGGUAUCGAACAGGAUUAGAUACCCUGGUAGUCCACGCAGUAAACGAUGAAUGCUAGUUGUCCGGGGCGAUUGAGUUCUGGGUGACACAGCGAAAGCGUUAAGCAUUCCACCUGGGGAGUACGCCGGCAACGGUGAAACUCAAAGGAAUUGACGGGGGCCCGCACAAGCGGAGGAACAUGUGGUUUAAUUCGAUGAUACGCGAGGAACCUUACCCGGGCUCAAACGCAGGAGAGAUGUUUUUGAAAGGAGGCAGCCAGCAAUGGUCUCCUGCGAGGUGCUGCAUGGUUGUCGUCAGCUCGUGCCGUGAGGUGUCGGCUUAAGUGCCAUAACGAGCGCAACCCCUACCUACAGUUGCCAUCGCGUGAUGGCGGGCACUCUGUGGGGACUGCCUGCGCAAGCAGUGAGGAAGGCGGGGAUGACGUCAAAUCAGCACGGCCCUUACGUCCGGGGCGACACACGUGUUACAAUGGCAGGUACAGCGGGAAGCCACCCGGCGACGGGGCGCGGAACCCGAAAACCUGUCUCAGUUCGGAUUGGAGUCUGCAACCCGACUCCAUGAAGCUGGAUUCGCUAGUAAUCGCGCAUCAGCCACGGCGCGGUGAAUACGUUCCCGGGCCUUGUACACACCGCCCGUCAAGCCAUGGAAGCCGGGGGUGCCUGAAGUG
rnacentral:rRNA from 1 species